rnacentral:lncRNA from 1 species
CUAGUCUAUGUGUCAGUUUUCCUGAGUCAGAAUUCACAGCAUACUUCCAGCGCUUGUCACAUCAUCUUUGGGAACAUGAUGUUUGUGACCUUUUCUGUCAAGCGCCAAGCCAGAACUGAACACCUCAAAGCAGGCACUGAUAUGGCCCUAAUAGGUGUUCAAAUAUCACCAUGGGACCUGCUGCAACUGGAGAUCUUCAAGGAGGUCUGUAUAGCCAUCUGACGUCCCUCUAUACACCUUCCAACCUGGUGGUCAUGUUUUCCUGAAAACUUGGAGAGACAAAGGACCUGAAAACCACUUGUCACCCAAAUGGACAGGCCGCUUUGAGAUUGUUCUCACUACUCACUCGUAAAUAAAGCUUGCAGGUGUGCAACCCUGGAUCCAUCAGUCCAAGAUCAAGGCAGCCCCAGAAUCACAGGAAAGUACCCCACCUGUGUUGAGGGAAAAGUGGACAGCAGAUCCCCUUGGAGAACUAAAAUAUGUCUUUAAAAUAAAAAUUUCACCUUUGUUAUCUAA